AGCAAAGAUGCUUGCUGCCGUUAAUGAGGCAAGGAAAACUCAUCGGGAUGGCGGAUGUGCCGCCUACUUUGAAUGUGCUGCCCAAUUUUGUGUUCCUUUUUCCCAACCACUAACCUUGGGACGAGCCUAGGCGCGCAAAGGGCACCGGGAAAGUACGUCACAGGUGACUUCAAGAGCAACGACAGAUAAAGCAGCCAUCGUGUGUUUGUGUGUGUGUGCAUGUUUUCGGCGCAGUAUUUUCAGCGUAGUAUAAUGUGAUACGAUUAGCUAAAAUCGUGUUAUCGUAGGUUUUACGUAAAUUAUGUAAAGAGUUCCAGCAAGCAGGCUGCGAUGUUGUACACCGAUGAUGCCACGUACGCACAAAAACCUGUGUAGGCAACCUCUUUCUCAUCCUCUUCUUUACAACACUGACUCCUACUCCG